AUUGAACGCUGGCGGCAGGCCUAACACAUGCAAGUCGAGCGGAUGAAGGGAGCUUGCUCCUGGAUUCAGCGGCGGACGGGUGAGUAAUGCCUAGGAAUCUGCCUGGUAGUGGGGGAUAACGUCCGGAAACGGGCGCUAAUACCGCAUACGUCCUGAGGGAGAAAGUGGGGGAUCUUCGGACCUCACGCUAUCAGAUGAGCCUAGGUCGGAUUAGCUAGUUGGUGGGGUAAAGGCCUACCAAGGCGACGAUCCGUAACUGGUCUGAGAGGAUGAUCAGUCACACUGGAACUGAGACACGGUCCAGACUCCUACGGGAGGCAGCAGUGGGGAAUAUUGGACAAGGGGCGAAAGCCUGAUCCAGCCAUGCCGCGGGGGUGAAGAAGGUCUUCGGAUUGUAAAGCACUUUAAGUUGGGAGGAAGGGCAGUAAGUUAAUACCUUGCUGUUUUGACGUUACCAACAGAAUAAGCACCGGCUAACUUCGU
rnacentral:rRNA from 1 species